GCCUGGGUGGCUCAGUCGGUGGAGCGUCCGACUUCGACUCAGGUCAUGAUCUCACGGUCCGUGAGUUCGAGCCCCGCGUCGGGCU
rnacentral:tRNA from 1 species